AUUGAACGCUGGCGGCAUGCCUUACACAUGCAAGUCGAACGGUAACAGGUUAAGCUGCCGAGUGGCGAACGGGUGAGUAAUGUAUCGGGACGUGCCCAGUCGUGGGGGAUAACUGCCCGAAAGAGCAGCUAAUCCCGCAUACGACCUCAGGUUGACAGCGGGGGAUCGCAAUACCUCGCGCGGUUGGAGCCGCCGGUAUCAGAUUAGGUAGUUGGCGAGGGAAAGGCCAACCAAGCCGACGAUCUGUAGCCGGCCUGAGCGGCGGACGAGCCACACCGGGACUGAGACACGGCCCAGACUCCGACGGGAGGCAGCAGUGGGGAAUGUGGGACAAUGAGCGCAAGCCUGAUCCAGCCAUGCCGCGUGCGGGAAGAAGGCCUUCGGGUUGUAAACCGCUUUUGUCAGGGAAGAAAAGGUUCUGGCUAAUACCGGAGACUCAUGACGGUACCUGAAGAAUAAGCACCGGCUAACUACGUG
rnacentral:rRNA from 1 species